AGAUUAGCCAUGCAUGUCUAAGUAUAAGCAACUUGUACUGUGAAACUGCGAAUGGCUCAUUAAAUCAGUUAUCGUUUAUUUGAUAGUACCUUACUACAUGGAUACCUGUGGUAAUUCUAGAGCUAAUACAUGCUAAAAACCCCGACUUCAGGAAGGGGUGUAUUUAUUAGAUAAAAAACCAACGCCCUUCGGGGCUCCUUGGUGAAUCAUAAUAACUUAACGAAUCGCAUGGCCUUGCGCCGGCGAUGGUUCAUUCAAAUUUCUGCCCUAUCAACUUUCGAUGGUAGGAUAGUGGCCUACCAUGGUGGCAACGGGUAACGGGGAAUUAGGGUUCGAUUCCGGAGAGGGAGCCUGAGAAACGGCUACCACAUCCAAGGAAGGCAGCAGGCGCGCAAAUUACCCAAUCCCGAUACGGGGAGGUAGUGACAAUAAAUACUGAUACGGGGCUCUUUUGGGUCUCGUAAUUGGAAUGAGAACAAUUUAAAUCCCUUAACGAGGAACAAUUGGAGGGCAAGUCUGGUGCCAGCAGCCGCGGUAAUUCCAGCUCCAAUAGCGUAUAUUAAAGUUGUUGCAGUUAAAAAGCUCGUAGUUGAACCUUGGGCCUGGCUGGCCGGUCCGCCUCACCGCGAGUACUGGUCCGGCUGGGCCUUUCCUUCUGGGGAACCUCAUGGCCUUCACUGGCUGUGGGGGGAACCAGGACUUUUACUGUGAAAAAAUUAGAGUGUUCAAAGCAGGCCUUUGCUCGAAUACAUUAGCAUGGAAUAAUAGAAUAGGACGUGUGGUUCUAUUUUGUUGGUUUCUAGGACCGCCGUAAUGAUUAAUAGGGAUAGUCGGGGGCGUCAGUAUUCAGCUGUCARAGGUGAAAUUCUUGGAUUUGCUGAAGACUAACUACUGCGAAAGCAUUCGCCAAGGAUGUUUUCAUUAAUCAGGGAACGAAAGUUAGGGAUCGAAGAMGAUCARAWACCGUCSUAGUCUUAACCAUAACUAUGCCRACUAGGGAUCSGACGGAUUYUAWAUGACCCSUUCGCMCCUUWCRAGAAAUCAAADUUUUGGUUYUGGGGAGUWWGGUCGCAAGGSURAAAYUAGAUKAMGGAAGCACCCACAGGSKKGRGCSGSGCCUWUUKMYYCMMCCGGGAACYYCACVGGUCMMACCAAUUAGWUKMMGAUKRAAVYYYCUCUKAYCUUUKAUGUGKUCAUGCSUYCUAAAGUCKG
rnacentral:rRNA from 1 species